GACGAACGCUGGCGGCGUGCUUAACACAUGCAAGUCGAACGGAAAGGCCCUGCUUUUGUGGGGUGCUCGAGUGGCGAACGGGUGAGUAACACGUGAGUAACCUGCCCUUGACUUUGGGAUAACUUCAGGAAACUGGGGCUAAUACCGGAUAGGAGCUCCUGCUGCAUGGUGGGGGUUGGAAAGUUUCGGCGGUUGGGGAUGGACUCGAGGCUUAUCAGCUUGUUGGUGGGGUAGUGGCUUACCAAGGCUUUGACGGGUAGCCGGCCUGGGAGGGUGACCGGCCACAUUGGGACUGAGAUACGGCCCAGACUCCUACGGGAGGCAGCAGGGGGGAAUAUUGCACAAUGGGCGGAAGCCUGAUGCAGCAACGCCGCGUGCGGGAUGACGGCCUUCGGGUUGUAAACCGCUUUCGCCUGUGACGAAGCGUGAGUGACGGUAAUGGGUAAAGAAGCACCGGCUAACUACGUG
rnacentral:rRNA from 1 species